ACCCUCGUUGGUUAGCUCCCUAACCUCCCUAGGUUGGCUCCACUUUUCCUAUUAUUCCCGGCUAAUAAACCCUGCUCCUU